UUUCCGUAGGUGAACCUGCGGAAGGAUCAUUAUCGUACAAAAAGGGAGGGGCCUUCGAGGGCUGUCGCUGACCUAUAAGACGUGCACACCCGCAUGUAUCCUCUUACAUAUUAAUUUACAGCACGCUUAGUGCAUCACCGUGUGGGCCCUCUUAGCCAUCAUAACGGAUCGGGGCUAGCGUUUGCACUCAAUUUCUCUUUUUCAAAGUGGAGAAAAACCGCUUUUAUACAAUAAAUACAACUUUCAACAACGGAUCUCUUGGUUCUCGCAUCGAUGAAA
rnacentral:misc_RNA from 1 species